CGCUGGCGGCGUGCUUAACACAUGCAAGUCGAGCGAGGAACUUCGGUUCCUAGCGGCGAACGGGUGAGUAACACGUGGGCAACCUGCCCCGAGCUCUGGGAUAACUUCGGGAAACCGGGGCUAAUACCGGAUAUGACACUACUGGACAUCUGGUGGUGUGGAAAGAUUUAUCGGCUUGGGAUGGGCCCGCGGCCUAUCAGCUUGUUGGUGGGGUAACGGCCUACCAAGGCGACGACGGGUAGCCGGCCUGAGAGGGCGAUCGGCCACACUGGGACUGAGACACGGCCCAGACUCCUACGGGAGGCAGCAGUGGGGAAUAUUGCGCAAUGGGCGGAAGCCUGACGCAGCGACGCC
rnacentral:rRNA from 1 species